rnacentral:tRNA from 1 species
UUAAUUGAAACCAAAAAGAGGUACGUCACUGUUAAUGAUGUCACUGAGAUUAUCUCCAAUUAAG